GACGAACGCUGGCGGCGUGCCUAAUACAUGCAAGUUGAGCGCUCAAGGUUGGUACUUGUACCAACUGGAUGAGCAGCGAACGGGUGAGUAACGCGUGGGUAAUCUGCCUUUGAGCGGGGGACAACAUUUGGAAACGAAUGCUAAUACCGCAUAAAAUCUUUAAACACAAGUUUUAAGUUUGAAAGAUGCAAUUGCAUCACUCAAAGAUGAUCCCGCGUUGUCUUUGCUAGUUGGUGAGGUAAAGGCCCUCCAAGGCGAGGAUACAUAGCCGACCUGAGAGGGGGGUUCGCCAAAAUGGGACGGGGACACGGCCCAAAAUCCUACGGGGGGGAGCAGGAGGGAAACUUCGGGAAUGGAGGAAAGGCUGGACGAGGAACGGCGGGGGAGGGGAGAAGGUUGUCGGGUCGGAAAACUCUGUUGGUAGAGAAGAACGUAGGGGGGAGUGGAAAGCGCAUGAAGUGACGGUAACUACCCAGAAAGGGACGGCUAACUACGUG
rnacentral:rRNA from 1 species